UACGUAGGGUGCAAGCGUUGUCCGGAAUUAUUGGGCGUAAAGAGCUCGUAGGCGGUCUGUCGCGUCUGCUGUGAAAACUCGGGGCUUAACCCCGGGCCUGCAGUGGGUACGGGCAGACUAGAGUGCGGUAGGGGAGACUGGAAUUCCUGGUGUAGCGGUGAAAUGCGCAGAUAUCAGGAAGAACACCCGUGGCGAAGGCGGCUCUCUGGUACGGAACUGACGCUGAGACGCGAAAGCGUGGGGAGCGAACAGG
rnacentral:rRNA from 1 species